rnacentral:rRNA from 1 species
UACAGAGGAUGCAAGCGUUAUCCGGCAUCAUUGGGCGUAAAGCGUCUGUAGGUGGCUUUUUAAGUCCGCCGUCAAAUCCCAGGGCUCAACUCUGGACAGGCGGUGGAAACUACCAAGCUGGAGUACGGUAGGGGCAGAGGGAAUUUCCGGUGGAGCGGUGAAAUGCGUAGAGAUCGGAAAGAACACCAACGGCGAAAGCGCUCUGCUGGGCCGACACUGACACUGAGAGACGAAAGCUAGGGGAGCGAAUGGG